rnacentral:rRNA from 1 species
AAUCAACGCUGGCGGCGUGCCUCAGACAUGCAAGUCGAACGAUUAAAGCUCUCUUCGGAGAGUGUAUAGAGUGGCGCACGGGUGAGUAACACGUAAGUAAUCUACCCUCGAGUGGGGAAUAACAACCGGAAACGGUUGCUAAUACCGCAUAAUGCAGCGGCACCGCAAGGUGACAGUUGUUAAAGAUUUAUCGCUUGAGGAGGAGCUUGCGGCAGAUUAGCUAGUUGGUAGGGUAACGGCUUACCAAGGCUACGAUCUGUAACCGGUCUAAGAGGACGGUCGGUCACACUGACACUGAAUAACGGGUCAGACUCCUACGGGAGGCAGCAGUCGGGAAUUUUGGGCAAUGGGCGAAAGCCUGACCCAGCAACGCCGCGUGAAGGAUGGAGUAUUUCGGUAUGUAAACUUCGAAAGAAUAGGAAGAAUUAAUGACGGUACUAUUUAUAAGGUCCGGCUAACUACGUGCCAGCAGCCGCGGUAAU